CGUAGGUGGCAAGCGUUGUCCGGAAUUAUUGGGCGUAAAGCGCGCGCAGGCGGUUCUUAAGUCUGAUGUGAAGCCCACGGCUUAACCGUGGAGGGUCAUUGGAAACUGGGAACUUGAGUGCAGAAGAGGAGAGUGGAAUUCCACGUGUAGCGGUGAAAUGCGUAGAUAUGUGGAGGAACACCAGUGGCGAAGGCGACUCUCUGGUCUGUAACUGACGCUGAGGCGCGAAAGCGUGGGAGCAAACAGGAUU
rnacentral:rRNA from 1 species